UCCUCCUGGAAACCCAUGUCAAAGGAUUCUCAUUCUCAUCAUUUUGUUUUCAGUUUUGAGCCUGGGGUGAUGGAAAGCUUCUGGAUUCCAGAGUCUGCAGGAUAUGGGUUUGAAGAUCUGCUGCGUGAUCGUGGACAGGAUGAAUCUUUCCCUGGUACUUACUUAGGAUCUUGUUGAUGGAACAUGGAGGAAAAAUACAUUAUGCAUUUCAUGUGGAAAAAAGCUCUAACCAGGUUGUGCACAAAAUCCUUACAUUGAAUUUGGGCUCACAAAGAACCCAAGAGUGCAUUCUCACAUUGGAAUCCUGUCAAAGAAGAGAUCGGGAGCUCUACAUAUAGAGAGGCAGAAGAGGUGAGAGAAUUAUUGUUCCUGGAACACAUGCUUCCCAGUGGGUAAGAAGGAAAUAUGUGGACAUAUAUGGAUG